UCUGUAGGGGGACCUGCGGAAGGAUCAUUACCGAGUGAGGGCCCUCUGGGUCCAACCUCCCACCCGUGUCUAUCGUACCUUGUUGCUUCGGCGGGCCCGCCGUUUCGACGGCCGCCGGGGAGGCCUUGCGCCCCCGGGCCCGCGCCCGCCGAAGACCCCAACAUGAACGCUGUUCUGAAAGUAUGCAGUCUGAGUUGAUUAUCGUAAUCAGUUAAAACUUUCAACAACGGAUCUCUUGGUUCCGGCAUCGAUGAAGAACGCAGCGAAAUGCGAUAAGUAAUGUGAAUUGCAGAAUUCAGUGAAUCAUCGAGUCUUUGAACGCACAUUGCGCCCCCUGGUAUUCCGGGGGGCAUGCCUGUCCGAGCGUCAUUGCUGCCCUCAAGCACGGCUUGUGUGUUGGGCCCCCGUCCCCCUCUCCCGGGGGACGGGCCCGAAAGGCAGCGGCGGCACCGCGUCCGGUCCUCGAGCGUAUGGGGCUUUGUCACCUGCUCUGUAGGCCCGGCCGGCGCCAGCCGACACCCAACUUUAUUUUUCUAAGGUUGACCUCGGAUCAGGUAGGGAUACCCGCUGAACUUAAGCAUAUCAAAAGCCGGGAAGAA
rnacentral:rRNA from 1 species